rnacentral:misc_RNA from 1 species
UCCCUGUUACCAGGGCAGUCUGCUUAGAAAAAUUCAACUAAACAAAAGGGUUGCGCUCGUUGAAGGACUUAACCUAACAUCUCACGACACGAGCUGACGACGGCCAUGCAACACCUGUCACUUGGCUCAAUAAAGCACAUUUUCCUUUCGGAAAACUUCCAAGGAUGUCAAGCCUGGGUAAGGUUCUUCGCUUACCAUCGAAUUAAACAACACGCUCCACCGCUUGUGCGGGUCCCCGUCAAUUCCUUUAUGUUUUAGUCUUGCGACCGUACUCCACAGGCGGGAUGCUUAACGCGUUAGCUUCGCUACUACCGGGGUCGAUACCGAUAACAGCUAGCAUCCAUAGUUUACGGCGUGGACUAC